UGAAGGGCAGAGGCAGGCUCUGGUAUCAGGAGGAGAAACAUGGUAGUUGCAUAAGAAGGCAUAGUCAAACCCCAGGAUGGGAAGUUGGGGCGGGGUCUUGCCCUAGUGGUAGCAGUGCUCCUUCUCUGACACUGGAGGGGGAGGGCAGUGUUAGCACUUGACCCCAGCAGAAGCAGAAGCAGAAGCAGAAGCAAGGCAGUUCUCAAGAGCGGACAGCAGAGUGAGUCCUAGUAGCAGUAGACAGAAGGGGAGGCUCUAGCAUCAACGGCAACAGACUGGGUAUUGAUAUAGCCCCUAGCAGAGAGGGCACUGACCUAGCAGAGUCAAACUCAAGCCCACUCAUAGCCCUUCACUAACUGUAAUCUUGAACUGAAUAGUUGGACAGCUCCUGCCAAGGAGGGCUUGGGGGGGGGGGCACAUUUGGAGAUGAUGGUUCUCUUUCUGAGGCCAUUAGUGUAUCUAUCCAGCUCCCUCAGAAGGAGGGAAGUUCUUCAGAAUCUUCUAAAGGAGCAAAGCUGUGGUAUUUUCUCCCUCCCCCUCUUAAGACUCCCAGGGAAAGAAGGUCCUGGGAACACUAAGCUAGUGGCCAUCCAGAACAUUCUUUUUAUUGACCCUGAACUGGGUCAGGCUGCAGGCAAGAGAGCAAGGAUCUUUUAGCUACCUCAUUCUAGGACUGGAAUCUGUGAAAGAAGUGUUGUCAUCUUUACUGUAGUCCUGAUAUUUCUGGUGCUAUGCCCUUCAUGAUCACCUCUUUGCCACAAGAGAUCCACUGUGAGCUACAAAGCCUUGGCAUCACCAACCACAUCAUUUAGAUUGAGAACUUGGUCCUUUGGAAGGGUGGAGAGAGCCUUCUCAUGUAAUAAAUUGUAUUUUGGGAGAGGAAAAAAGCACAACUAAUCAAUACAUUGAAAAAACCUGAAAAUCUGGGCAAUGUGUAACACCUGUGGACCUCCCACUUCCACAAAGGGCAAUACUUCAAGAACAAGAAAACGCCAUGAAAAUUGGUAAUAAUGCUUUUGAAGCCCCAGUACUUUGAUGGAUCAAACCUCACCGAUGCAGGCACCCUCUUCAGGGCUGCAGAUCGCCACACAUCUUGACCCUCCUGUAUGACUUGUCCAUGUCUCCUGAAAACCCACCAAUGAGAGACCACACAACAUGCUUUCUCUAGGUCCUCAAGAUAUUGCAUGAAUGCCAGUGGAGCACAUACGAUACCCAGGGGAAAUCUGUGCACUCGUUAUCCCCAGUGCAUGCUGCAAGAACAGCCCAUCUUCCAUCACUGUCCUCGUCAAAGGAAUGGCAUCUCCAAUGAGAUCUCCUUAUGCUACUUCUGCAUAACUCUCUAUUACAUACAGUUAUGGAUCCCUAAUAGCUCCUCCCCCAAAUCCUCUGCAAGCAGAGAGGGCAACAGUGGCAUUUUUAGUAAAUGACCAAUUUACCAUACGGUACUCUUAUGGCAAA